GUGCUCGUGGCUUAAUCAGGAUAAAGCAUUAAAUUACGAAUUUAAAGAUUGAAAGUUCAACUCUUUCCGGGCAUU
rnacentral:tRNA from 1 species